rnacentral:misc_RNA from 1 species
GUCUAGGUCAAAAAGUGCAUAACGAACAGAGUAGCGAAAUGAGUGGCGGACGGGAUGGCGGCGCUCAUGCCAGACAGUGCCUUCAUAGAUAGAAUGAGAGUGAGCGGCAGAACCGGCGGAAGGGGGAGGGGUGGAAUAGAUGAAGUGGAGGCGCGUGAGGAGAGUGCGAAGAAGGAGCAGGAUAGAGAGGGCAGAGGAAAUGAAGAAUGUUGACACGAUAGAGAGGAGGAGGUAAAGAGCUUCCAUGGUUUUUUUUUU